AUACAGAGGGUGCAAGCGUUAAUCGGAAUUACUGGGCGUAAAGCGCGCGUAGGCGGUUUAAUCAGUCGGAUGUGAAAGCCCCGGGCUCAACCUGGGAACUGCAUUCGAAACUGUUAAGCUAGAGUAUGGUAGAGGCAAGUGGAAUUCCAGGUGUAGCGGUGAAAUGCGUAGAUAUCUGGAGGAACAUCAGUGGCGAAGGCGACUUGCUGGACCAAUACUGACGCUGAGGUGCGAAAGCGUGGGGAGCAAACAGGAUUAGAAACCCCGGUAGUCC
rnacentral:rRNA from 1 species